rnacentral:rRNA from 1 species
GGACUGCUCAGUAACACGUGGAUAACCUACCCUUGGGACUGGAAUAACCCCGGGAAACGGGGGAUAAUACCGGAUAGAUCAGGGAUGCUGGAAUGCACCUUGAUCCAAAGCUCCGGCGCCUAAGGAUGGAUCUGCGGUCUAUCAGGUUGUAGUGGGUGUAACGUACCUACUAGCCGACGACGGAUACGGGUUGUGAGAGCAAGAGCCCGGAGAUGGAUUCUGAGACACGAAUCCAGGCCCUACGGGGUGCAGCAGGCGCGAAACCUUUACAAUGUGCGAAAGCAUGAUAAGGGAACUCCGAGUGCCAGUAUCUAAUACUGGCUGUCCUUGUGCCUAAAACGCACAAGAUAGCAAGGGCCGGGUAAGACCGGUGCCAGCCGCCGCGGUAACACCGGCGGCCCGAGUGGUAGCCGCUAUUAUUGGGUCUAAAGGGUCCGUAGCCGGUUCGAUAAGUCCUCUGGGAAAUAUGGUUGCUUAACAAUCAGACUGCCAAGGGAUACUGUCGAACUUCAGACCGGGAGAGGUAAGAGGUACUUCAGGGGUAGGAGUGAAAUCUUGUAAUCCCUGGGGGACCAUCUGUGGCGAAGGCGUCUUACCAAAACGGGUCUGACGGUGAGGGACGAAAGCUGGGGGAGCAAACCGGAUUAGAUACCCGGGUAGUCCUAGCUGUAAACGAUGCUCGCUAGGUGUCAGACACGGUGCGACCGUGUUUGGUGCCGCAGGGAAGCCGUUAAGCGAGCCACCUGGGAAGUACGGUCGCAAGGCUGAAACUUAAAGGAAUUGGCGGGGGAGCACUACAACGGAUGGAGCCUGCGGUUUAAUUGGAUUCAACGCCGGAAAACUCACCGGGUGCGACAGCAAUAUGUAGGUCAGGCUGAAGGUCUUACCUGAAUCGCUGAGAGGAGGUGCAUGGCCGUCGUCAGUUCGUACUGUGAAGCAUCCUAUUAAGUCAGGCAACGAGCGAGACCCGCGCCCACAGUUGCCAGCAUGUUCUCCGGAACGAUGGGUACACUGUGGGGACCGCCGCUGCUAAAGCGGAGGAAGGAACGGGCUACGGUAGGUCAGUAUGCCCCGAAUCUCCCGGGCUACACGCGGGCUACAAUGGUUGGGA